GGAAUUAGUAAGAAAGACUUGAACAAAUGGCGGAUUUGAUCUCGUUAAUGCCAUCUAAAAAUUGAUUUUUUCACAAUAUUUCGCACAGAAAAGGAUCUUGGAAUGACUAAAACCGCCAUUUCAUGGAAGUAUAUAUUAGCAGAAUUGUUUGUGGAAGACAGAACAGAACUUGCAAUAGUCUCAGAGCGGUGGACCAUUGAUGAGAAUGUUCUUAAGUAUCCGUCCAACUUGAAGGGACCAAAAAGGAUGAAGAGCAUAAUGGAUCAUGUUAUACCAGAAGAUACCUGGACCGAGUAUCAAUACAGGAAGGAGGCUUAGAGUCAUUGUCUCAGAGAGGUGGCCAUUGCUUAGGAUGUUCUUAAGUAUCCGUCCCACUUGAAGGGACAAAAAAGGAUGAAUAGCAUCAUGGAUCAUGUAAUACCAGAUACCUGGACCGAGUAUCAAUACAGAAGGCUUAGAGUCAUUGUCUCAGAGAGGUGGCCAUUGCUUAGGAUGUUCUUAAGUAUCCGUCCCACUUGAAGGGACAAAAAAGGAUGAAUAGCAUCAUGGAUCAUGUAAUACCAGAUACCUGGGCCGAGUAUCAAUACAGAAGGCUUAGUCUUUGGUUACUGGAAUCAGGCAAAAGAAAUGGAUCAACGUGCAGCUGAAAAUGAAUCUGACGGCUUGAAAACAACUCAUGAAACAAGGAAGAAGAGUUUGUCGAGAAAACCUGCAAUUUACUUUCCCAGUUCUUUUUUCCUUGGAAAUUGCAAAAGAACACAUUCUUCAUCAUCCAACGAGAAUUCAAGAGCCAUUGAUCCAAUUUCUCCAGUGAUUUAAUUGUUAACUCAAUAGUCAAUACGCAACUGUUGUGUUCAAUUCUGACUUGGUGUUAUCUUGUAUGUCAUGUGUUAACUAAUAUGUCAUAAAUGUGUUCUAAUGGACAAUAUAAUCAAGUUAAGUGCACUUUACGUAUUAUUUAUUAAAAAAUUACAACGACUAGCAGCAAAUAAUAGUACAGAUUUUAUUCCCUAAAAAUGAACAAAAUAGACCCAGUCCACGCACUGGGAAGGUCUUUUGUUCACUUUUGUUCGUGAACUGUUCACGCACUGAGGGCGGCAAUAGGGAGGAAAAUGUACACUCCAUGUUCAUGUACAUUGUUCAUGAACAGGGAGUUUUUGUUCACUGUUUGUUCACGAACUGUGCGAACUUUUGCUAGGUGGGAAUUG